ACAGAUUGGUACAAAGAUAGCUUUUAAUAUAAAUACAAAGCUUCAACAUCUAAAAAAGUAUUUUAUUUGAAAAAAUCCCUAAUCUUGCAAGCUAGAUUGAGGUUUUCGAGCUUAGUAUCCAUGGCAGAAACAGAACACAAGCGUUUCAUCUGAUGACUGGAAUCUUGAACUCAGACAAGACAGAAGGUACAAGGAGAGACCUCCACUGUGUUUCUCCUCCAUCGGGUUAUACCACAAAAGAACAAUCCUUGGAAAAUUGGAUCCACAACAACAAACAAAUUUGGUUGGAGAGAGGUAAGGAUUGGGUUCGAGUAAAGAAGAAGAAGAGAACAAUGGGUUGGGUUGCUUUUUUUUUUUUUUUUUGAGUCAAAUAGUUUGGUUUAAUUAAAAUUUUAAUUUAAAACUGAGUUUUGGUUUGCUUUAAAUGGUUAAUAUUAUUGGUAAGUAGUAAACCGAUUAAAAUUAUGGUUUAUGUAUAAUUAAAUUUUAAACUAUCAGUUCGGGGUGAAAUAAGAUUAUAACUUUUAAUUCAGAGAGAAAUACAUUUACAAUAUUCAUUUCAUGGACAUAGAGCAUGAUGUCAUGGUUUGGUGGACAUCUAAUGCUAUAUGAUAGUUCUCGUGGGAAAAUAACACGUUUACCCGAUAAUAUAUAAUGUUAAUUGACUAUUGUUAUUUUGUUGAUGUUUCAAGAGCAGUAAUUGUUUCUUAUAACUUCAAUCUCACUGAAAUUCUUUUUGAUCCAAAACUAUAAGAAGUGUUUGAUUUCAAAUUAAAGUUACCUAAUGAUGAUUUCAUUAUUUCUAGAGAAGACUUUGAUCUAUACCUUUUAAAAUAGAUUUACAUUUUUUUCCGUUAUUACUCCAAUAAAAAUUUUAAGCAGAAAGAAUGUAUCGAAUGAGGCAUGUUGUGCUUAUUAAAUAUUUUGGUUAUAACCCUCGAUUCUUAUUUUUUUUUUUAAUUUAACAUCUGCUCUUAUUCAAAACAUUAUAUAAAAAAGCAACUCUAAAACUACCGAACUUGAGGCAAGAAAAAAAAUUAAAAAAAUAUCACCACUCUUCGAUUCAACUUUCAAAUAAUUCAACUUUCAAAUAGAAGAAUUGUGUUUAAACCUACAAGCCAUUAGAAUUGACUUAAAUCGAAUAAAACACACAAAAAUGAAUUUAUUAUGUAUAUAUAAUUAAAUAAAAUAGUUUGAAUACAAAAACUAAUAUUACUUUUUUUAUUGAGAAUACUAGGGUAGGCCCGUCCUACGGGCGGGAUUUAAUGGAUCAGCUUUUUAUAAAAGAUGUAAUUUUAUGUAGAUUUCCUUUUAUGUUAAGAUGAUUGUGAAUAUGCUUAUGUUGGCUACAAUAAAUUAUAAUUAUAUAACUAAAAAUUAUCGCAUUCUUAUUAUUUUUGCUGUUUUAAUUAUAAAUUAUAAGAUUUUUAUAGUGUUUCAGUUUUAUAACACUAUAAAAUACAUAAAUCAAUCAUCAAAAGAAAAUAAGAUUCAUAUUUCUAAAACCAUUGUAUUUAUUUUAUCUUGUGAGGGUAUAUGAAAUAGUGGAGAAUGUUAUUUUUAUUUAGAGGAAUUUUUUGUCAUGAUUAUUGUAGUUGUUUUUUAUAAUGUUAGUAAUAUAUAGUGGAGAAUGAUAUUUUCAAUGGUAUUUGAAAACUCGAUUUCAUUCUCUUCUGAAUGAUUUCGAUUGAUUUAUAUAUUUUAUGGUGUUAUAAUACUUAAAACACUAUAAAAUCUUACAACUCUAAAUUAUUAAUAGCAAUAAAUUAAGAAUUCAGUCAUUUUUAGUUUUAUAAUUAGAAUUUAGUGUAGACAACAUAUCUUUAAAUCAUUCUCCUCUUGUUAAAUAAAUUUCUAUAUAAAUAAUUAUGGUUGUUUGAAAACAGCAAUGUAAAUCUUUGUUUAUAUAAGAUAUUAGGACAUUAGGUGUUACAGACAAUAAUUAUAAUUAUUUGAAUGAAGCAAUGUUAGAUCUUAUUUUUCCAAACUAAUUUUCGAAAAUUAUAUGUAUUGUAUAUGUAAUAAUUAUUACUUAUACUUUUCCUUUUCCAAAACAAUCUGUGAUACACUCUUUUUCUCAGCAUAAGUUUAACAAAAUGUGGAUAUGGUAACCGGUUUUUUAAAUUAAAUUUUGUAUUUUGAAACUUAUAUAUUUUCAUUGAAUUAUUAUUUUUGAAUAAAUUUCCACCAUUCUUAAGAUAUAUUAUGUAUUCUAACUAAAAAUGUAUUGUUUAUUAUAUUUUUUUAUUUUUUCAAACUGAUUGUUUGAUUUUUAAUUAUUAAUAAAUUUUUGGAUAUGAUUUUUCAUUAUAAUUUUUGGUUCUUUUUUUUUGUUGGCGUAGGUUUGAUAAAAUGUUAACAAUAACUUCAGUUGAUUUUUUUUGUUCUUAUUAACUUGCUCUAUUUAUUUCCACAUUUUAUGUAUUUUGGAUUAUUUUAUGCAUUUUCAUUAAAUGCCUUAUCUAUAUCAGAUAGAAAACUUGGUGGGCUAUUCGGUUUGAUACAAUAUCCUUUAAAUUUUUCAUUUGGUUGUAACAGUAGCGUAGACACAUCUUUGUUAUUUAAUUUUAUUUUAAACACAAAAUUCUAUGUUUUUUUUUAUUUGGUCUAAAUAAGUAGUAAAAUUACAAACACAUGGAAACAAAUUUCUGGGAAUAAAAUUGUGUGUAAGCAUUAACUGUAUAUAUCCUAAGUCUACGAAGAUUUAAACAUAGAAAAAGGAGAAUUCAAAAUCAAAUCUGCUUCCUCACUAUAUUCCAGUUCGUCGUCGUGUUCAGCUAAUCAACCAAAGUCAAUUGAAACAAAAUUCAUGGAAAAUAAAUCAACAUGAUUUCCUUGUAUUUAGUUAAAAAAAAUAGAGCUCACAUAGCAAUCCACUGAAAACAUAUCCUAACAUUUUAGACGUCGCUAAAUUUACUAAUAUUUUUUAGAAGUCUCAAAAUGGUAAUUUCCUACCACAACAGUAAAAAGCUUAUUGUCGUCAUCAACCACUUUCUCUAAAGUAGUCAUGACAUCAAAUUAAUCAGCUUCGGUGUACUAAUGCAUGUCUUAAACCUCUUUAUUAGUGAACAUUUAUUUGUUAUUUAAUAGUCUUUCUUUCGUAUACAUAAACCAUAUCUUUGGUUGCCAUAAGAAUAAUUUAGCUUUAAAUAGAUAAUCUUUUAAAAACACUAUGUAGUUUACCUAAGCUUUUAAGUUUAGUAAACCAUGCUAUUGACCAAAUAAAAUUCUAACGUUUCUAUGUUUUCAGUUUUUAUAACUUAUUUUGGCUUGUGAACAAUAAUACGAUGGCUUUGGCAUCUGAGAUUCCUGCUCACAACUAAAAUUUGAGUUUCCAAGUAGAAAAAUAAACACACAUACAGUACUUUUGCGCUUCUCUCUCUCUUCACCUGCGACACAUUUAGCUUAUCCAUCUCCUUCUCUAAAUCUUAGAUUUCACCCCGUUCGAGUUGUAACCCAAGUUGUUCUUUCCGUCUCUGGCAACUCAAUCGCAUGUUUUGCUGAUACAUCUUUUACAUUAUGUGCCUUCUCCUCAAGCUGUGCUUUUUGUCCCUGUAGCUCAAACACCGGUGGGAGGAGUGGGGCUUUCAAGUUAAUAUACAAAUUUACAAAAACUAUGAUCAGGUCUAUAAAUAUUGAACUACCUUGCGAAUAUGGUUUGCAAUCUCGAGGAUUUUGAAAUACCUUGCGAAUAUGGUUUGCAAUUCGAGGAUUGAGGGUAGCUUUUGCUCUGAUAGUAAUGGGGUGGUAGCAAUCUCAAGGGAUGUUUUUUUUAUUGAUAGUUAGUUCAGAUAUAGCAAUUGAAACAAAAUCGAUGAAAAUUUCCUGUUGUUUUAGUUUAAACAACGAUUAAGCACUUUGAGAUUUGGCUGUAAGGAAAUGAUAAAGAACCUAA